GAAAUGCGAUAAGUAAUGUGAAUUGCAGAAUUCAGUGAAUCAUCGAAUCUUUGAACGCACAUUGCGCCCGCCAGUAUUCUGGCGGGCAUGCCUGUUCGAGCGUCAUUACAACCCUCAGGCCCCCGGGCCUGGCGUUGGGGAUCGGCGGAAGCCCCCUGCGGGCACAACGCCGUCCCCCAAAUACAGUGGCGGUCCCGCCGCAGCCUCCAUUGAGUAGUAGCUAACACCUCGCAACUGGAGAGCGGCGCGGCCACGCCGUAAAACACCCAACUUCUGAAUGUUGACCUCGAAUCAGGUAGGAAUACCCGCUGAACUUAAGC
rnacentral:misc_RNA from 1 species